GACGAACGCUGGCGGCGUGCUUAACACAUGCAAGUCGAACGGAAAGGCCCUGCUUUUGUGGGGUGCUCGAGUGGCGAACGGGUGAGUAACACGUGGGUAACCUGCCCUUGACUUUGGGAUAACUUCAGGAAACUGGGGCUAAUACCGGAUAGGAGCUCCUGCUGCAUGGUGGGGGUUGGAAAGUUUCGGCGGUUGGGGAUGGACUCGAGGCUUAUCAGCUUGUUGGUGGGGUUGUGGCUUACCAAGGCUUUGACGGGUAGCCGGCCUGAGAGGGUGACCGGCCACAUUGGGACUGAGAUACGGCCCAGACUCCUACGGGAGGAAGCAGUGGGAGAUAUUGCACAAUGGGCGGAAGCCUGAUGCAGCAACGCCGCGUGCGGGAUGACGGCCUUCGGGUUGUAAACCGCUUUCGCCUGUGACGAAGCGUGAGUGACGGUAAUGGGUAAAGAAGCACCGGCUAACUACGUG
rnacentral:rRNA from 1 species